rnacentral:rRNA from 1 species
UCCGAUUCCUACGGGAGGCAGCAGUGGGGAAUAUUGCACAAUGGGCGCAAGCCUGAUGCAGCAACGCCGCGUGAGGGACGAAGGCCUUCGGGUUGUAAACCUCUUUUAGUAGGGAAGAAGCGACUGGGUUUUCCUGGGAGUGACGGUACCUGCAGAAAAAGCACCGGCUAACUACGUGCCAGCAGCCGCGGUAAUACGUAGGGUGCAAGCGUUGUCCGGAAUUAUUGGGCGUAAAGAGCUCGUAGGCGGUUUGUCGCGUCUGCUGUGAAAACCCGAGGCUCAACCUCGGGCCUGCAGCGGGUACGGGCAGACUAGAGUGCGGUAGGGGAGAUUGGAAUUCCUGGUGUAGCGGUGGAAUGCGCAGAUAUCAGGAGGAACACCAAUGGCGAAGGCAGAUCUCUGGGCCGUAACUGACGCUGAGGAGCGAAAGCAUGGGGAGCGAACAGGAUUAGAUACCCUGGUAGUCCAUGCCGUAAACGUUGGGAACUAGAUGUGGGGACCAUUCCACGGUCUCCGUGUCGCAGCUAACGCAUUAAGUUCCCCGCCUGGGGAGUACGGCCGCAAGGCUAAAACUCAAAGGAAUUGACGGGGGCCCGCACAAGCGGCGGAGCAUGCGGAUUAAUUCGAUGCAACGCGAAGAACCUUACCAAGGCUUGACAUAUACCGGAAACGGCUGGAAACAGUCGCCCCGCAAGGUCGGUAUACAGGUGGUGCAUGGUUGUCGUCAGCUCGUGUCGUGAGAUGUUGGGUUAAGUCCCGCAACGAGCGCAACCCUCGUCCUAUGUUGCCAGCACGUAAUGGUGGGAACUCAUGGGAUACUGCCGGGGUCAACUCGGAGGAAGGUGGGGAUGACGUCAAAUCAUCAUGCCCCUUAUGUCUUGGGCUUCACGCAUGCUACAAUGGCCGGUACAAAGGGCUGCGAUACCGCAAGGUGGAGCGAAUCCCAAAAAGCCGGUCUCAGUUCGGAUUGAGGUCUGCAACUCGACCUCAUGAAGUCGGAGUCGCUAGUAAUCGCAGAUCAGCAACGCUGCGGUGAAUACGUUCCCGGGCCUUGUACACAUCCAUAUG